CGGCAGUGACUUUCUUAUCUCGCAGCCUGCCACUCUGUCAGAGGAAAUUAGAUUUGCUUGGCACAACCUGCUCCUUAUGAUGUCAUCCUGGCUGUGAUCUGCGUGUCCUGCUCUCCUAGGAUGCAGCAUCAGCAGAGUGUUCUUGGCAUCACCAUAUUCUUGGCAAGUGCUUUGCGUUUCAUCUAGAACUGAGAGACCGUUCUGGUUGCACAAAAGGAUACGGAGCUCCUGGAGGGCAGCAGGCCCUGUGACUCAGCAUGCAGCUCCAGAUGGCUUCCUGCCUUUCCAGUCUUGUUGGCUGGGGUGCCGGGGCCCUGGUACAGUAAACUAAAACCGAAAACAUGUUGCCACGAAGAGUGGAAAGCCUCCCUC